rnacentral:rRNA from 1 species
CCCUUUCGGGGGUGGAUUAGUGGCGAACGGGUGAGUAACACGUGAGCAACCUGCCCUUGACUCUGGGAUAAGCCUGGGAAACUGGGUCUAAUACCGGAUAGGACUCCUCAUCGCAUGGUGGGGGGUGGAAAGCCUUGUGCGGUCUUGGAUGGGCUCGCGGCCUAUCAGCUUGUUGGUGGGGUGAUGGCCUACCAAGGCGACGACGGGUAGCCGGCCUGAGAGGGUGACCGGCCACACUGGGACUGAGACACGGCCCAGACUCCUACGGGAGGCAGCAGUGGGGAAUAUUGCACAAUGGGCGGAAGCCUGAUGCAGCGACGCCGCGUGGGGGAUGACGGCCUUCGGGUUGUAAACCCCUUUCAGCAGGGAAGAAGGGUGACUGACGGUACCUGCAGAAGAAGCGCCGGCUAACUACGUGCCAGCAGCCGCGGUAAUACGUAGGGCGCGAGCGUUAUCCGGAAUUAUUGGGCGUAAAGAGCUCGUAGGCGGCUUGUCGCGUCUGCUGUGAAAGCCCGGGGCUCAACCCCGGGUCUGCAGUGGGUACGGGCAGGCUGGAGUGCAGUAGGGGAGACUGGAAUUCCUGGUGUAGCGGUGAAAUGCGCAGAUAUCAGGAGGAACACCGAUGGCGAAGGCAGGUCUCUGGGCUGUAACUGACGCUGAGGAGCGAAAGCAUGGGGAGCGAACAGGAUUAGAUACCCUGGUAGUCCAUGCCGUAAACGUUGGGCACUAGGUGU